AACGAACGCUGGCGGCGUGCCUAACACAUGCAAGUCGAACGGAGUUGUUACUUCGGUGAUAACUUAGUGGCGAACGGGUGAGUAACGCGUGAGGAACCUACCUUUCAGUGGGGGACAACAGUUGGAAACGACUGCUAAUACCGCAUAAUGUCAUCGAGCGGCAUCGCUUGAUGACCAAAGAUUUAUUGCUGAAAGAUGGCCUCGCGUCUGAUUAGCUAGUUGGUGAGGUAACGGCUCACCAAGGCGACGAUCAGUAGCCGGUCUGAGAGGAUGAACGGCCACAUUGGGACUGAGAUACGGCCCAGACUCCUACGGGAGGCAGCAGUGGGGAAUAUUGGGCAAUGGGGGAAACCCUGACCCAGCAACGCCGCGUGAAGGAAGAAGGCCUUCGGGUUGUAAACUUCUUUUAGCAGGGACGAAGAACGUGACGGUACCUGCAGAAAAAGCAACGGCUAACUACGUG
rnacentral:rRNA from 1 species